rnacentral:rRNA from 1 species
AACGAACGCUGGCGGCAUGCCUAACACAUGCAAGUCGAACGGGACCUUCGGGUCUAGUGGCGCACGGGUGCGUAACGCGUGGGAACCUGCCCGUAGGUUCGGAAUAACUCCCCGAAAGGGGUGCUAAUACCGGUUAAUGUCUUCGGACCAAAGAUUUAUCGCCUGUGGAUGGGCCCGCGUUGGAUUAGCUAGUUGGUAGGGUAAAAGCCUACCAAGGCGACGAUCCAUAGCUGGUCUGAGAGGAUGAUCAGCCACACUGGGACUGAGACACGGCCCAGACUGCUACGGGAGGCAGCAGUGGGUAAUAUUGGACAAUGGGCGAAAGCCUGAUCCAGCAAUGCCGCGUGAGUGAUGAAGGCGUUAGGGUUGUAAAGCUCUUUUACCCGGGAUGAUAAUGACAGUACCGGGAGAAUAAGCUCCGGCUAACUCCGU